rnacentral:rRNA from 1 species
GUCUUUUUGAUUAUAAUUUAAAGUCUGGCCUGCCCAAUGAGUAGUUAAAUGGCUGCGGUAAUUUGACCGUACAAAGGUAGCAUAAUCAUUAGUUUUUUAAUUGAAAGCUGGAAUGAAAGGUCGGACGAGAAAAUGACUGUCUCAAUUUAAUUUAAAUUAGAAUUUUAUUUUUAAGUAAAAAAGCUUAAAUAAUUUUAAAAGACGAUAAGACCCUAUAGAAUUUUAUAUUUUUUUAAAUAACGGUUUAUUAGAAAUUUUUUUAUUUUUAUUUAAAAACGUAUUUUGUUGGGGUGACAGAAAAAUUGAAUGAACUUUUUUUUAUUUAUAUCAUUAAUUUAUGAUUAAAUGAUCCAUUUUUUUAUGAUUAAAAGAUUAAAUUACCUUAGGGAUAACAGCGUAAUUUUUCUCAAGAGUUCAUAUCUAAAGAAGGGAUUGCGACCUCGAUGUUGGAUUAAAAUGAAUUUCUGGUGUAGAAGCUAGAGUGAUUAGGUCUGUUCGACCUUUAAAAUUUUACA